rnacentral:rRNA from 1 species
UACGUAGGUGACGAGCGUUAUCCGGAAUUAUUGGGCGUAAAGCGCCCGCAGGCGGCUGUUCAAGUCUGACGUGAAAUCGCUCGGCUUAACUGGGCGGGGUCGUUGGAAACUGAACAGCUUGAGGCAAGGAGAGGGGCGUGGAAUUCCCGGUGUAGUGGUGGAAUGCGUAGAUAUCGGGAGGAACAUCAGUGGCGCAAGCGGCGCCCUGGCCUUAGCCUGACGCUCAGGGGCGAAAGCGUGGGGAGCGAACGGG